AGAGUUUGAUCCUGGCUCAGGAUGAACGCUGGCGGCGUGCCUAACACAUGCAAGUCGAACGGGUGUGGUAUCAGGGAAAAGGGGUUUACUUCUUUGACCAGAUAACACACUAGUGGCGGACGGGUGAGUAACGCGUGGAUAACCUGCCUUAUACAGGGGGAUAACAGGGAGAAAUUCUUGCUAAUACCCCAUAGGUAUGUCUGACGCAUGUUGGACAUAUUAAAGCUUUGGCGGUAUAAGAUGGGUCCGCGUCUGAUUAGCUAGUUGGUGGGGUAAAGGCCCACCAAGGCGACGAUCAGUAGCCGGCUUGAGAGAGUGGACGGCCACAUUGGGACUGAGACACGGCCCAAACUCCUACGGGAGGCAGCAGUGGGGAAUAUUGCACAAUGGGGGAAACCCUGAUGCAGCGACGCCGCGUGAAGGAAGAAGGUCUUCGGAUCGUAAACUUCUAUCAGCAGGGAAGAAGGAAGUGACAGUACCUGAGUAAGAAGCCCCGGCUAACUACGUGCCAGCAGCCGCGGUAAUACGUAGGGGGCGAGCGUUAUCCGGAAUUACUGGGUGUAAAGGGUGCGUAGGCGGUAUGGCAAGUCAGUUGUGAAACCCCCUGGCUCAACCAGGGGCUUGCAAUUGAAACUGUCAUACUAGAGUGCAGGAGAGGAAAGCGGAGUUCCUAGUGUAGCGGUGAAAUGCGUAGAUAUUAGGAAGAACACCAGUGGCGAAGGCGGCUUUCUGGACUGUAACAGACGCUGAGGCACGAAAGCGUGGGGAGCGAACAGGAUUAGAUACCCUGGUAGUCCACGCCGUAAACGAUGAGUGCUAGGUGUUGGGGGUCUAAUUAGAUCUCGGUGCUGAAGUUAACGCAUUAAGCACUCCACCUGGGGGAGUACGAUCGCAAGAUUGAAACUCAAAUGAAUUGACGG
rnacentral:rRNA from 1 species